AUUGUUGCCUCGGCGGAUCAGCCCGCUCCCGGUAAAACGGGACGGCCCGCCAGAGGACCCCUAAACUCUGUUUCUAUAUGUAACUUCUGAGUAAAACCAUAAAUAAAUCAAAACUUUCAACAACGGAUCUCUUGGUUCUGGCAUCGAUGAAGAACGCAGCAAAAUGCGAUAAGUAAUGUGAAUUGCAGAAUUCAGUGAAUCAUCGAAUCUUUGAACGCACAUUGCGCCCGCCAGUAUUCUGGCGGGCAUGCCUGUUCGAGCGUCAUUUCAACCCUCAAGCCCCCGGGUUUGGUGUUGGGGAUCGGCGAGCCCUUGCGGCAAGCCGGCCCCGAAAUCUAGUGGCGGUCUCGCUGCAGCUUCCAUUGCGUAGUAGUAAAACCCUCGCAACUGGUACGCGGCGCGGCCAAGCCGUUAAACCCCCAACUUCUGAAUGUUGACCUCGGAUCAGGUAGGAAUACCCGCUGAACUUAAGCAU
rnacentral:rRNA from 1 species